AAGGAUUUAAGUUAAUAUAAACUAGUAACCUUCAAAGUUACCAAUAACAAGUCAAAUUUUUAAGCCUUG
rnacentral:tRNA from 1 species